UUACUGGGCGUAAAGCGCGCGUAGGUGGUUUGUUAAGUUGGGAUGUGAAAGCCUGGGCUCAACCUAGGAACUGCAUCCAAAACUAACUCACUAGAGUACGAUAGAGGGAGGUAGAAUUCAUAGUGUAGCGGUGGAAUGCGUAGAUAUUAUGAAGAAUACCAGUGGCGAAGGCGGCCUCCUGGAUCUGUACUGACACUGAGGUGCGAAAGCGUGGGUAGCGAACAGGAUUAGAUACCCUGGUAGUCCACGCCGUAAACGAUGACAACUAGCUGUUAGGAGACUAUGUCUUUUAGUGGCGCAGCUAACGUUUUAAGUUGUCCGCCUGGGGAGUACGGCCGCAAGGCUAAAACUCAAAUGAAUUGACGGGGACCCGCACAAGCAGUGGAUCAUGUGGUUUAAUUCGAUGCAACGCGAAAAACCUUACCUACUCUUGACAUACUUGGAAGCUCUUGUAAUGAGAGUGUGCUUUUAAGAACCAAGAUACAGGUGCUGCAUGGCUGUCGUCAGCUCGUGUCGUGAGAUGUUCCGUUAAGUCGGAUAACGAGCGCAACCCUUACCCUUAUUUGCCAGCGAUUCGGUCGGGAACUAUAAGGGGACUGCCGGUGAUAAACCGGAGGAAGGUGAGGACGACGUCAAGUCAUCAUGGCCCUUACGAGUAGGGCUACACACGUGAUACAAUGGGAGAGACAGACGGACGCUAAGCCGCGAGGUGGUGCUAAUCCUAGAAACUCUCUCGUAGUCCGGAUUGGAGUCUGCAACUCGACUCCAUGAAGUUGGAAUUGCUAGUAAUCGCGGAUCAGCAUGCCGCGGUGAAUACGUUCUCGGGUCUUGUACACACCGCCCGUCACACCAUGGAAGUGGAUUGCACCAGAAGUAGAUAGUCUAACCUUAGGGAAGGCGUUUACCACGGUGUGCUUCAUGACUGGGGUGAAGUCGUAACAAGGUAACCAAGG
rnacentral:rRNA from 1 species